GAUGAACGCUGGCGGCGUGCUUAACACAUGCAAGUCGAACGGAAAGGCCCAAGCUUGCUUGGGUACUCGAGUGGCGAACGGGUGAGUAACACGUGGGUGAUCUGCUCUGCACUUCGGGAUAAGCCUGGGAAACUGGGUCUAAUACCGGAUAGGACCACAUUUUGGAUGGUGUGGUGGAAAGUUUUUCGGUGUGGGAUGAGCUCGCGGCCUAUCAGCUUGUUGGUGGGGUAAUGGCCUACCAAGGCGUCGACGGGUAGCCGGCCUGAGAGGGUGUACGGCCACAUUGGGACUGAGAUACGGCCCAGACUCCUACGGGAGGCAGCGGUGGGGAAUAUUGCACAAUGGGCGCAAGCCUGAUGCAGCGACGCCGCGUGGGGGAUGACGGCCUUCGGGUUGUAAGCUCCUUUCGCUAGGGACGAAGCGUUAUGUGACGGUACCUGGAGAAGAAGCACCGGCUAACUACGUG
rnacentral:rRNA from 1 species